rnacentral:rRNA from 1 species
GUUGCUUUCACGUCUAUCGUGGCCAUUUUCAGCAUUAAAAGGGUUGAUGAUAGGUCAGGAACAAAGUCCCUUGCACCCCUUGUUAUUGCUGGUGCACUGAGCAUCAUGUACUGGAGUUUCUUUGAUGAUCUUCGGCCAUAUGCGGUAAUCCAGUUCAUGCCAUGCAUUGUAAUACCUGUGAUGACUAUAGUUAUUCCACCAAUGUAUACACAUUCAAGCUACUGGUUGUGGGCAGUGUUAGAAUAUAGUUUGGGUUUAAAGAUAGAGAUAAGGAGUAGAUCAAAUAGGUUUAAACCAUGUAUUACUCAUCUUGUACUCCAAACCUCUAUGCCCUCGUGUAUUCUAUAUAUACCCCAUAUGAGGGUCAGAUCAAUACAACACAACAACAUACACAACACAAAUAUUCUAGUCAUCCUACAAUUUUUUACAGGCAGCAGGUUAGUGUUAGUCUCGUUUAAUAUCACCAUGGUGUAUGCAGUUCCAUUAUUUGUGUAUAUAGCUAUAUGUGAGUCGCAUUAA